rnacentral:rRNA from 1 species
UACGUAGGGUGCGAGCGUUAAUCGGAAUUACUGGGCGUAAAGCGUGCGUAGGCGGUUCGUUAAGUUCGUUGUGAAAGCCCCGGGCUCAACCUGGGAAUGGCAAUGGAAACUGGCGGGCUGGAGUAUGGCAGAGGGGGGUGGAAUUCCGCGUGUAGCAGUGAAAUGCGUAGAGAUCCGGAGGAACACCAGUGGCGAAGGCGACACGCUGGGCCGUACCUGACGCUGAUACGCGACAGCAUGGGGAGCGAACGGG